UACGUAGGGAGCAAGCGCUGUCCGGAAUCAUUGGGCGUAAAGCGCGCGUAGGUGGUCCCGUAAGUCCGCUGUGAAAGUCAAAGGCUCAACCUUUGAAAGCCGAUGGAUACUGCAGGGCUAGAGUCCGGAAGAGGCGAGUGGAAUUCCUGGUGUAGCGGUGGAAUGCGCAGAUAUCAGGAGGAACACCAAUAGCGAAGGCAGCUCGCUGGGACGGUACUGACGCUAAGGCGCGAAAAGCGUGGGGGAGCGAACAGG
rnacentral:rRNA from 1 species